UCUGCUGAUUAUCUGGUUCAAGAUCGAAUCAAUGUCUGAUUAUUACUGCAAUUAAAAAUCAUGCCAUGUUUGAUCCCAUUGCAUUGUCAUACUGUGGUAGAGCACAUUUGCUUACUUCAAAAACAGCGUUUUCAUUAUCCUGAAAAACUGAGAUGUUGAAAAAAUGUAUAUUAUAGGUCUUUAUAAAUAAUAUUCAUAUAUUUAAACACACUCACACACGUUUUCAUCCACGUCAUAGCCUACCAACAAUAAUAUAUUCUUCUAAGCACAGGCCAUGAGCUAGUUUCAGAAAACACAGAAUCUUUGAAUUGUUGGUAACAAUGGAACUUGUGACCAUAUCUGGUUAACAACACAUUUGGGAAACACGGAAUAUCCAUAAAUUUAGUUUUAGACCAAGGGGGACUAAAUUCUAAAGGAGAGCCAAAUCGUUCCUGUUGUUUUAGCCCCUCCGCCCGUAUUUAAUGGCUCCCCCGUUCUCCAUCACACCCUCAUUACCUCCCUGCGUCUCGGAUCUCCCGAAUGGAUGGCUAAAUCACACCCGAACAGCUUGCGUCCUCCUGAAACCACGUUCUGUUUUACAGGCGUUCCGCAGAGGCUCAGAGAUGGAUGGAAGUGGAGUAUUAACAUGCGGAGUUCAAGGCUCGCUCUCCAAUCGAGUCCAGUGGUGGAGAUCUAAUUACAGAAUCUGAACAGAGAUGCGGAUGGAGUCACCGGGAACAGGCUGAUGACCGGAGACUGGACUUCCGUGUGAAGGUUAGCAGGUGAUCGAUAGAACUCGGAGCCAGCACAUGCAGUAUGGUUGUGAGGGAGAUGGUGUAGUCGACUGGAUGCCAGUCUUGGAGGAGCAAGAAACAUCUCCCCACUGCAGUCGCCGAGGGAUCUCUGCCCAAUCUGAUUACUGCAUUUGUCAACCUGCCACCCUGUUCUGGAAGUAAACAAAGCCAACACCAGAUAAGACCCUGCCGACUCCUUCAACGCUGCCCGAGACAAUUCCACUCGAAUGUAAAUGCACCCCCCCCCCUCACACACACACACACACACAAGCUAAUGCACACAGGAAGCACAUUGGAAAAUAGCCAGGAUGCUUCCAGUUCUGUUUAUCUGAUGGACAGAAGACAAAGGUCUACAUUACAAUCAAGCUCUAAUGCAUUGCAUUACACAUGCCACAUCCUCAGAAGACUUCUGGUCAUGUCCUAUAGUGUCUUCCCUGAAAGGCUGGAUUUUCUGGAUUUUCCUAUUAUAGGACUUUCCCAGCAAUUUAUUUCUCAUUUUGUUUUAUUGCUGGUUCCUAAAGGUGUGAUUGUUCCUGACAUCAUAAGUUCCUGAAGCCUGGACUUGGGUUUAUACCAAUAACAACCAUUAACAGUCUGACAUUCCUUAUCAGGAACUGACUGUGGUAAAAAUAAAUAAAUAAAUAAAUAAAUGAAAAAAAAAAUAUGAAAAUAAUCUCAUGUAUCAGGAUUCAAACCAAAGCCUUUGUCACACUUGCUUAGAAAUCCCUUUCAUAAUGUUAAUAUCAAUUUACAUUGUUCAUUUAAUGCUCAUAAUUAUUGGAAAUAGAGAUGUUCAGUUAAGUGUAGUUUGUCCUUGAAAAGAAUGAUAAUUUUUAAUAAGUAGAGUUUUUACAUGUUUUCUUUUUCUGCAUACAUUAUUAUUAUUACUAUUAUUAUUAUAUAAAUUGCAUAAGACCACCUAAGCCAAUUUUGAUGUACAAUAGUUUGAAAAUCUAUAUUCAAGGUAUGACUCAAUCCUUUUUUUUUUUUUUUUUUUUUUUGGGAACACAACGAAAAUGUCUUUUCAAGUAAUGUUGACCACAUUUUACUCAUAUCCAAAACCAUUACUUUAAAAACCCAUUAGAAAUUCCUGAGGGAAAAACUAUUGCAAAUUAUCCUUUUGGUUCGGCCUACAAAAUGGAUAUUAUAACUGAGGGGCUCUAUUGCAAUAAAGAAUAAUUUGCAGUC